AUGGGAUAUUAUAAUGGAGGAAUUUCCCCCCUGUCUGCCCAGAUGCAAAGAUGCUAUUGGAAUGAGAAACUGGGAAGUUUGCCUGUAGACUAUGUACAGACAGCUGCAGAGCAGAGGACCAGAUUGCCACUUCCUACCUGGAUAACCUCAGGCGAGUUACUUAGCCUCUUUGUGACUCAGUUUCUUCAUCUAUAAAAUGGGAGUAAUACCUACCUUUCAGGGUUGCUGAGAGCAUGCUUAGAACAGGGCCUGACAUACAGUAUGCACUCAGUAAAUGUUAGCCAUUACUAUUGUUAUUUGCAUCCCCAGGGCUUAGCAUGCUUUGUAGUAAACCUUGGGUCAGUGAUUUUCACCCCUCAUAUGCAUGAUAAUUACUUGAGGAGCGUUCUGUGAUCAUGGCAGAUGGAGUUCAGUGCCAUGUCAAUUGACCCUACUUUGGAGUUUGUGUUUCUGUGUGAUGGAGCUGGACUCAGAUGUGAUCUUUUUUCACAAGCCUCUCUUGUUACUUUUACUGGUCUGUAGUUGGUGCUGGGGUUUAGUGUAUACCCAGGGGACCUGAAUCUCUGGACUGACCAUAUGAUAGCCAGACCCUGAGCCUCAACAGACUUCAGCUCCUACACUCUGGGUUAUUGCACUUACCCUACUCAGCUAACAUGGAGGUGAAGAAGGUCAACCACCACACCAGGGAGCCAAGAGCGCCUACAGCUGAAAGCAGGAGAAUUGCAUCCAGCACCCACGUGGAAUCUAAGCUCCCUCUUGAUAUAGCUGUGGAGUGGACACAACCAUUCUAAGGUCCACAGGAUGGAGAAAUAGAGUGUGGAUUAGAGUGGACUUACUGAUAUUCUAUUCAUGAACUAUUGUGAUUAGUAAUCGAAGAAGAUGUGGCAUUUGUGUGGAGAAAGUGGCCAUGGUGGCUGCUGGGGGUAGGGAGUGGGAGGAAGAGAUGUGAUGUGGGGGUGUUUUCGGGACUUGGAGUUGUCCUGGGUGUUGCUGCAGGGACAGUUACCAGUCAUUGUAUGUCCUCCCAUGGCCCACUGGGUGGACUGUGGGAGAGUGUGGGCUAUGGUGUGGACCAUUGACCAUGAGGUGCAGUGGUGCUCAGAGAUGUAUUCACCAAGUGCAAUGAAUAUCUCAUGAUGAUGGAGGAGGUUGUUGUUAUGGGCGGAGGAGUGGGGUGAGGGGGG
rnacentral:lncRNA from 1 species